UGAAAGGGAGCAAAUGAACUCUGCGGAGAA
rnacentral:piRNA from 1 species